rnacentral:rRNA from 1 species
CAGUAGCCACGGGAAUACAGAGGGUGCGAGCGUUAAUCGGAUUUACUGGGCGUAAAGCGUGCGUAGGCGGCUUUUUAAGUCGGAUGUGAAAUCCCUGAGCUUAACUUAGGAAUUGCAUUCGAUACUGGGAAGCUAGAGUAUGGGAGAGGAUGGUAGAAUUCCAGGUGUAGCGGUGAAAUGCGUAGAGAUCUGGAGGAAUACCGAUGGCGAAGGCAGCCAUCUGGCCUAAUACUGACGCUGAGGUACGAAAGCAUGGGGAGCAAACAGGAUUAGAUACCCCUGUAGUCCCUGUCUCUUAUAA